CAGCUGGCAGAGGGGUUCAUUCAUUAGCUGGAUUGUUAUGGCCUCUCUAAUCUGACAAGGACACAGCUCUCAGCUCUGACUUCCAUCAUCUUGUCCUGAGAGUGUCUCUGAGUGAAAUCUGGUAGUCAUCAGAAACAGGGAAGGAGAUGCUAUUCACUCAGAAUUCAAGAUUGCAGCAGAAAGAACUCUUGCAACACUUCUCGUCCUGCAGAUGACAAGAAAGCCCUGCUCCCAGUGAUGCCACAGGAAUAAAAGGGAACCAUUAUCUUGAACUCAAAGCACUCUCUAUGGAUCAAAC
rnacentral:lncRNA from 12 species